GGAAGGGGCUAGCGUUGUUCGGAAUUACUGGGCGUAAAGCGCGCUAAGGCGGCUUGGCGAGUGAGGCGUGAAAGGCCUGGGCUCAACCCGGGAACGGCGCUUCAGACUGCUUGGCUUGAGUUCGGGAGAGGGUGGUGGAAUUCCCAGUGUAGAGGUGAAAUUCGUAGAUAUUGGGAGGAACACCGGUGGCGAAGGCGGCCACCUGGCCCGCAACUGACGCUGAUGCGCGAAAGCGUGGGGAGCAAACAGGAUUAGAUACCCUGGUAGUCCACGCCGUAAACGAUGAGUGCUAGAUGUCGGGGGGCUUGGCCUUUCGGUGUCGCAGCUAACGCGUUAAGCACUCCGCCUGGGGAGUACGGCCGCAAGGUUAAA
rnacentral:rRNA from 1 species